UACAGAGGGUGCGAGCGUUAAUCGGAAUUACUGGGCGUAAAGCGUGCGCAGGCGGUUCUAUAAGACAGAUGUGAAAUCCCCCGGGCUCAACCUGGGAACUGCAUUUGUGACUGUAGAGCUGGAGUACGGCAGAGGGGGGUAGAAUUCCACGUGUAGCAGUGAAAUGCGUAGAGAUGUGGAGGAAUACCGAUGGCGAAGGCAGCCCCUGGGUCAAUACUGGCGCUCAUGCACGAAAGCGUGGGAGCAAACAGG
rnacentral:rRNA from 1 species